rnacentral:rRNA from 1 species
GACGAACGCUGGCGGCGCGCCUCAUACAUGCAAGUCGAACGAGAAGCUCGGAGCUUGCUCCGGGUGGAGAGUGGCGAACGGGUGAGUAACACGUGAGAAACCUGCCCCGAAGACCGGGAUAACACCGGGAAACCGGUGCUAAUACCGGAUGUCCUUGCCGGACGCAUGAUCUGAUAAGGAAUGGAUUCCGCUUCGGGAUGGUCUCGCGGCCUAUCAGCUUGUUGGCGGGAACGCCCACCAAGGCUACGACGGUAGCUGGUCUGAGAGGAUGUCCAGCCACACUGGGACUGAGACACGG